rnacentral:rRNA from 1 species
AACGAACGCUGGCGGCAUGCCUAACACAUGCAAGUCGAACGAAGCCUUCGGGCUUAGUGGCGCACGGGUGCGUAACGCGUGGGAAUCUGCCCUUGGGUUCGGAAUAACAGUUAGAAAUGACUGCUAAUACCGAAUGAUGUCUUCGGACCAAAGAUUUAUCGCCCAAGGAUGAGCCCGCGUCGGAUUAGCUAGUUGGUGAGGUAAAGGCUCACCAAGGCGACGAUCCGUAGCUGGUCUGAGAGGAUGAUCAGCCACACUGGGACUGAGACACGGCCCAGACUCCUACGGGAGGCAGCAGUGGGGAAUAUUGGACAAU